rnacentral:misc_RNA from 1 species
GAUGAAGAACGCAGCGAAAUGCGAUAAGUAAUGUGAAUUGCAGAAUUCAGUGAAUCAUCGAAUCUUUGAACGCACAUUGCGCCCGCCAGUAUUCUGGCGGGCAUGCCUGUCUGAGCGUCAUUUCAACCCUCAUGCCCCUAGGGCGUGGUGUUGGGGAUCGGCCAAAGCCCGCGAGGGACGGCCGGCCCCUAAAUCUAGUGGCGGACCCGUCGUGGCCUCCUCUGCGAAGUAGUGAUAUUCCGCAUCGGAGAGCGACGAGCCCCUGCCGUUAAACCCCCAACUUUCCAAGGUUGACCUCAGCUCAGGUAGGAAUACCCGCUGAACUUAAGCAUAUCAAUAAGCGGAGGA